CUCAAGUGAUAUCAGAUGGGAUAUUCAGAAAAGAGAUAAUAGGACAAAAACAAAACAAAACAAAAAACAAAACAAAAAACAAAAAAAAACAAAAAAACAAAAACAAAAAACCAAACCAAACCAAAACAACAACAAAAAAAAACAAAAACAAAAACAAAAAAAUGCACACUUGCAAAAGAGAUACUCACAUUACCCACCUACCUUGCCUUCUUUACAGGGACCCAGUGGCUGCUUCAUCCUUCUGGCCUCCAGCGACAGGAAAGGAGAGACGUGGCACUGCGAAGAGCAAUGCACACAGACCCCUUCCAACUGUGAGCCUGCACCCAGCACUCAGCACAAAUGAUGAGAAUGCCACUGGGACAAAUUUUGCCUGGAUAACGUAUGGAAGGUUAUGCCAAAAGUAUUUUAAGAGUGGCUCAUUCCCAUUCUUCACUCAAUACAAAAAAACAUCGAGACCAAUUUGAAGUUGUUUUGCUUCUGCCAAUCAUGAAACAACAAAAAUCCCGCUCAGAGGAAAGCCUCCAUACUUCACUUAAAACCCAACAGCAGAACAGUGGAAAGGAACACCAGUACCACCUUUCUGCAGAGGGUCUCAAGAUGCGUAGAAAUGGUGUGGGUGAGGAUUGCCACGCUUCCUUUGCAACUACUGGAGAGAAAUGGGCACAUUUAAGACACAAUUCAUCUGCCCCUGAGGUCUGUAUCUAAAACAGGUCUGUAUCUAAAACGGUCCAAGGAAUCAGUACCUAAAGCUGUCUGUUCAUUUCUAAUGAUUUGAAAGAGACUGGCUCAGAUAUAAGCACUGCAUAUGUUUGAAGGUAGCUAGCACGAAUGUCAUUGCAG
rnacentral:lncRNA from 1 species